AUCCAGUAGCUGACGAGUCCAAAACAGGACGAAAUGCGCAUUAUCCUGGAU
rfam:Trichobilharzia regenti genome assembly, scaffold: TRE_scaffold0052790